rfam:Nocardiopsis sp. JB363 genome assembly, contig: Scaffold85
CGCAGUGACACGGGGUGCCCUGAAUCCACUGAUUCGGGCUGAGAUGACACCCGUCGAACCUGAUCCGGAUAACGCCGGCGAAGGGAUGUCCGUACACGGCCGG